UUGCAAACCGAAAAUUGUGAAAAGCAAUUAAAGAAACACUAAAAUUAUUUGUAGAAAAACAAUAGCUUUUUGAAGAGAGAGAAUUAGAACGAAAGAUCAAUACACUUUCUUCAGCCAUUGAUGGCCAGCCGUGUUCCCCGAGGAAACCUCCUGCGAAGCCUACGUUACUUCACCAGGCCUCUAAACUCGGCGGCCUCAUCCUCGGCCUUCUCAGCUCCGGCCGUUCCGCCGCUUAAUUUCGCCGAGAAAUCUGAUACGUCCGUCGUAGAGGAAUUCCAAACUGGAGGCCCCGGGGUGUUUGACGUGUACAACACUCAGAAACUGUUCUCUUCAAUUCCGACGAAGAGGCUGCUGAGGGCGUCGGCAAACCUCCACGUCGCGGCGAUCGAGUCCGUGGUAGACUUGGGAAUGUGGGUGAUGAAAUCUAAGCUGAUGGAGACGGAGUUGGUAAGGAACGUCGUUAUGGAAACCAUACGUCACACGUUUUUUGAGCAUUUUUGCGCCGGCGAGGACACGGCCGCCGCCGGCCAAACCAUCUUGAAGCUUCGCGAAGCCGGUCUAAGAGGUAUGCUGGUGUACGCGUUGGAGUACGCCGCCGAUAACGAGUCAUGCGAUCGUAAUCUUGAAGGCUUUCUUCGCACCGUUGAAUCAACCAAGUCUCUUCCUCCUUCCUCUGCGAGUUUCAUCAUUGUGAAAAUCACGGCAAUUUGCCCCAUGAGUGUGCUUGAGAAAGCCAGUGAUUUGCUUAGAUGGCAUCACCAGGACCCUUCGUUUGAUCUCCCAUGGAAGCUCGACAGCUUGCCCAUUUUCGCAGACUCCACCCCAAUGUACCACACCCUUAAAAAACCAGAACCAUUAACCCAAGAAGAAGAGAGAGACCUUCACUUAGGCUACGAGAGACUCCUCAAACUGUGUCAAAAAUGCGCCGAGGCCAAUGUCCCUCUCUCGGUUGAUGCCGAGCACACUUCGAUUCAACCCAUCAUUGACUAUUUAACGUAUGCUUCAGCGGUUGCGUACAAUAAAAAUGACAGUCCGAUUGUGUAUGGAACCAUCCAAACUUACCUCAAGGACGCAAAAGAUAGGUUGCUUCUGGCUACAAAGGCCGCUGAGGGAAUGGGAGUCCAAAUGGGGUUCAAAGUUGUGAGAGGAGCUUAUAUGUCCAGCGAGACCAAGAUAGCUACUUCUCUGGGCUAUGAAUCUCCCAUUCACAACAGUAUUCAGGACACUCAUGACUGUUACAACGACUGUGCUUCCUUCAUGCUCGAAAAAAUCGCUAAUGGGUCCGGCGCUUUGGUUCUUGCGAGCCAUAAUGUUGAGUCAGGGAGACUGGCCGCGGUGAAAGCCCGUGAUUUGGGGAUUGGAAAAGUGAACCAUAGGCUUGAAUUCGCGCAGCUUUAUGGGAUGGCAGAGUCGCUGUCGUUUGGUUUACGAAACGCAGGGUUUCAAGUGAGCAAGUAUAUGCCGUUUGGGCCUAUAGAUAUGGUGAUGCCUUAUCUUUUGCGAAGGGCUGAAGAGAAUAGGGGUCUCUUAUCUGCUUCCUCUCUUGACAGGCACCUCAUGAGUCAUUAGGGAAAAAAUGGUGACUACGUACGGUGUGGAUUAACUCCUCCGGACUAAAGUGACGAAUCUACAUAUAAAUUUUGAUCAUUCCAAGUGAACGAUUCGAUCGACACUACGUUGGGAUUGUAUUGGAACGGCAUAUAAUUUGACCAUUCGCUCACCCAAUCAAGUUUUCCUAAAAUGGCGAAGAGUGAUGGAGAAUAUGAUGAGAGAGACCCACCUAGCUAGGUCAUUUGGUGGACUGAAUUGAAGAGAAGACUGAAAGCAGCCAUCGUGGGAGCCUAGAAGCACCUCAACAACGGAGCUCAUUGAAUCGCACACACUACCAAAGUGUACAUAUAUAGGAUAAAUUGUGUUGGUGGUGUGCUAAGUAUUAGUACUUUAAUUAUGUCGUUUAGGUAAGGAAAGGCUACUUCCAUGUUGUGUAGCCUAAAUCUCCCACCCAACGUUUAGUGAUAAUAAAAGUAAACUACUAUAUUCAUGGUA